CUCUGUGACUCCUACGGGAGGCAGCAGUGGGGAAUAUUGCACAAUGGGCGCAAGCCUGAUGCUGCCAUGCCGCGUGUGUGAAGAAGGCCUUCGGGUUGUAAAGCACUUUCAGUUGUGAGGAAGGUGGUGUCGUUAAUAGCGGCAUCAUUUGACGUUAGCAACAGAAGAAGCACCGGCUAACUCCGUGCCAGCAGCCGCGGUAAUACGGAGGGUGCGAGCGUUAAUCGGAAUUACUGGGCGUAAAGCGCAUGCAGGUGGUUUGUUAAGUCAGAUGUGAAAGCCCGGGGCUCAACCUCGGAACUGCAUUUGAAACUGGCAGACUAGAGUACUGUAGAGGGGGGUAGAAUUUCAGGUGUAGCGGUGAAAUUCGUAGAUAUUAGGAGGAACACCAGUGGCGAAGGCGACUUACUGGACUGUAACUGACGCUGAUGCACGAAAGCGUGGGUAGCGAACAGGAUUAGAUACCCUGGUAG
rnacentral:rRNA from 1 species